UCGGAUAUGGUGUAACGGCUAACAUUGCCGCCUCUCAUCUAGUCUUUGCUUGAUCCUUCGCGGCAGCUCGGGGUUCGAUUCCCCGUAUCCGAA